rnacentral:rRNA from 1 species
AGUGAACGCUGGCGGUAGGCCUAACACAUGCAAGUCGAACGGCAGCACAGUAAGAGCUUGCUCUUACGGGUGGCGAGUGGCGGACGGGUGAGGAAUACAUCGGAAUCUACUUUUUCGUGGGGGAUAACGUAGGGAAACUUACGCUAAUACCGCAUACGACCUACGGGUGAAAGCAGGGGAUCUUCGGACCUUGCGCGAUUGAAUGAGCCGAUGUCGGAUUAGCUAGUUGGCGGGGUAAAGGCCCACCAAGGCGACGAUCCGUAGCUGGUCUGAGAGGAUGAUCAGCCACACUGGAACUGAGACACGGCCCAGACUCCUACGGGAGGCAGCAGUGGGGAAUAUUGGACAAUGGGCGCAAGCCUGAUCCAGCCAUACCGCGUGAGUGAAGAAGGCCUUCGGGUUGUAAAGCCCUUUUGUUGGGAAAGAAAAGCAGCAGGUUAAUACCCCGCUGUUCUGACGGUACCCAAAGAAUAAGCACCGGCUAACUUCGUG